GGAGAGGCUCUGUCCAGCUGAACCCUCCAGUGCACAGUAUGCUUGGCUGCAGAGGCUUGGAGUGAGAGAGGAGACCAGGGUCCAGCUUCUCGGACAGCACUCACUGGGUUCUAGAGGCAAGAAGUCUGGAAUAAGUAUCACUGGGCCAAAAUCAAGGUGUCAGAAGAACUUCACAUCCCCCAAAACCUCCAGGAGAGAAGCCAUUCCUUGCCACUUCCAACUUCUGAGCCUCCAGAUAUUCUUUGACUUGUAUCUGUGUCACGCCAAUCUCUGCCACUGUCUUCAC
rnacentral:lncRNA from 10 species